UCAUCAACCCUCACCAGUUUCCAAGCAAGAUGAUAUUUCCCCAAGGCCAGACACGUUUUCCAUGGAAGACUGGGAACAAACAACCUCACUUAUAUGGCAGUGAUAAUCACUUAGAAUCAUCAUGUAGUGCCAAGACAAGGGUACACACAAAUGAUUACUUACCAGCGACAGGUUUCUUUUGCUUUGUGUCAACCUAAUCCAUUCAGGCUUUGUGUCGGCCUGGGGCUACAGGAGAAGAUACUUGUCCAAGGUGUCGUGAACAUGAAACAACAUGGUUGAGAAGCAAACUUCUUAACCACACAGCCAUGUUUGUGCUUUUCAGGUUUACAAGAACGGGCUGAAAGGUUCAUAGGCUGGAUAUUAAGGAGUGAGUCUAGGACUGUGAAAUCUUGUAUGCAUUAAUUUCAAAUCAUAAUAAUUACAAUGUUUCUUUCCAAGUAAACUGACAUCUAACUGUUUAAAGAAGACUUGGGCUAUUGUUGUAAGCAGAGUCAGUACUACAGUUUCGAUUCUCAGUUGAAACUAUUCUGCUUAACUUACAUCAUAAAAGCUUUUCGGAAAAGAUGGUAUUGCCAAAGGUAUUGACCAAGCUGAAACCUGAGAAUGACUCCACAGAAAAUUAUUGAUAAGUAUAUUUAUGAUGGCAUGGAUUGCUUUAUGAGUAAGUUACCAGACACCCAGCCAAGAGAUCAAGCUUUACUUUCCAGUACAGGUCACAGUAGAGCCAAGACUCACCGCUUCACAGCUGCAUCACUCUAGCUGAAAAUAGCUAGAAUGCCGUAUGUAGGAUCAACCCGUCACUAUAAGUAGACACCACAAUGAGGAACAGUUCACUUAGCUGUAAAGAAUAUCACUGUGAAAUAUAGUCAACUUAGCCAUAAAAGGAUAUGACAGGAAAUACAAUCCACUGAACUGUAAAAGGAUACCACAGCGAGGUAAGUUCAUGUAGCUGCAAUAAGAUAUAAUCCAUCUAGAUGUAAAGACAUAACCACAGUAAAGUGUAGUCUAUCUAGCUGUAAAGCGAAAGCACAAGGAGAUACAGUCCAUUUGGCUAUAAAAAGACACUACAGUAAGGAAUAGUCUACCUAGCCAAAAAACAAAUGCUACAGUAAGGUGAAUCCAACUAAUGGUAAAAAGGCACCAGUAAAGAACAGUUCGCCUAACAAUACAAAUGCACCACAGUGCCACAAUGUCCUUAUUAAAGACUUCAAUGUCAGAUUUUCUAUUCACCACUUUAACCCUUUUGUUACCAUAUUUC
rnacentral:lncRNA from 1 species